CGGGAACUCAAAGGAGACUGCCAGUGAUAAACUGGAGGAAGGUGGGGAUGACGUCAAGUCAUCAUGGCCCUUACGACCAGGGCUACACACGUGCUACAAUGGCGCAUACAAAGAGAAGCGACCUCGCGAGAGCAAGCGGACCUCAUAAAGUGCGUCGUAGUCCGGAUUGGAGUCUGCAACUCGACUCCAUGAAGUCGGAAUCGCUAGUAAUCGUGGAUCAGAAUGCCACGGUGAAUACGUUCCCGGGCCUUGUACACACCGCCCGUCACACCAUGGGAGUGGGUUGCAAAAGAAGUAGGUAGCUUAACCUUCGGGAGGGCGCUUACCACUUUGUGAUUCAUGACUGGGGUGAAGUCGUAACAAGGUAACCGUAGGGGAACCUGCGGUUGGAUCACCUCCUUACCUUAAAGAAGC
rnacentral:rRNA from 23 species